rnacentral:rRNA from 1 species
AGAGCGAACGCUGGCGGCAGGCUUAACACAUGCAAGUCGAGCGGGCGUAGCAAUACGUCAGCGGCAGACGGGUGAGUAACGCGUGGGAACAUACCUUUUGGUUCGGAACAACACAGGGAAACUUGUGCUAAUACCGGAUAAGCCCUUACGGGGAAAGAUUUAUCGCCGAAAGAUUGGCCCGCGUCUGAUUAGCUAGUUGGUGAGGUAACGGCUCACCAAGGCGACGAUCAGUAGCUGGUCUGAGAGGACGAUCAGCCACAUUGGGACUGAGACACGGCCCAAACUCCUACGGGAGGCAGCAGUGGGGAAUAUUGGACAAUGGGCGCAAGCCUGAUCCAGCCAUGCCGCGUGAGUGAUGAAGGCCCUAGGGUUGUAAAGCUCUUUUGUGCGGGAAGAUAAUGACGGUACCGCAAGAAUAAGCCCCGGCUAACUUCGCGCCAGCAGCCGC